AGUGAACGCUGGCGGUAGGCCUAACACAUGCGAGUCGAACGGCAGCACAGUAAGAGCUUGCUCUUACGGGUGGCGAGUGGCGGACGGGUGAGGAGUACAUCGGAAUCUACUUUUUCGUGGGGGGUAACGUAGGGAAACUUACGCUAAUACCGCAUACGACCUACGGGUGAAAGCAGGGGAUCUUCGGACCUUGCGCGAUUGAAUGAGCCGAUGUCGGAUUAGCUAGUUGGCGGGGUAAAGGCCCACCAAGGCGACGAUCCGUAGCUGGUCUGAGAGGAUGAUCAGCCACACUGGAACUGAGACACGGUCCAGACUCCUACGGGAGGCAGCAGUGGGGAAUAUUGGACAAUGGGCGCAAGCCUGAUCCAGCCAUACCGCGUGGGUGAAGAAGGCCUUCGGGUUGUAAAGCCCUUUUGUUGGGAAAGAAAAGCAGCAGGUUAAUACCCCGCUGUUCUGACGGUACCCAAAGAAUAAGCACCGGCUAACUUCGUG
rnacentral:rRNA from 1 species